UUCCCCCCUAAAAUUGGUAUCCUCAAAACACCCAAGGGUUUCUCUCUGCCACCACCGUCUUCAUCAUCUUCCCUUCUCUCCCUCUUUUUGUAUACAUCUCAGAAGAGCUCAUACUUUAUCUGUUUCUCAUGUGACUCUGAAGCCUCUUUCUUUCCUUCAACAUACCCAAGAUAAAGUUUUCUCAACUUCUUCUCAAUCAUUUAUUUCCUUCUUUAUCUAUUUUAAUUCAUGUGACUUUGCUUUUCUCAACUUAUUCUCAAUCAUUUAUUUCCAUUUCCUUCAACAUACAACUUCUUUAUCUGUUUUAAUUUUUCACUUUCUCUUCUGCAUUUCAGUUACGUUUUCUGUUCGUUUACUCAGAAAAUGAUACCACUUUUUUCUCUCUGUUAUCAUUUACUUCGAAGGAUGUUUUAUCAUUCUAUUAUCAUUUCCCUCCUGGCCCAAAAGUAACAGGGUUUAUGAAAUAUUUUCAGAUUGUCUUCACCCCUGGGCAAGAUAAAUGCUUCACAUGCGGUCAGAUGGCCAUAUAGCGGCAAAUUGUGAAGGAAAGGCAAAGAGGAAGGAAGGAGAAUUUGAUGAGAAAGCUGAUGGAAAAACAGUGGCCAGAAAGCCAUAUCAUGUUACUUUGCAAUUGAAUUUAUAGCUGGAAUUAUUAUAAUGAAUUCUUUGGAAAAAUUAGAACUUGUUAUUUGCUUCAUCUUUGCAGUUCUUGAACAUAUGGACCCUUAGGGAGUAUCUGGAAUAUGAGAUGAGAAUCCCCAAUCCUCCUUUUGAAAUUGACUUGGAACGCGUUUAAUUCUCUGUUUUAAUUCUCUAUUUUUUCUUUCAUUUUUUAAUGUUAAAUUUAUCCUUUCAGCCCCAUCGAUUUUGGAUCUCAUAAUUUAUUUUUGGUUCUUAGGUUCAGUGAGCUAUAUUGGGUGCUUUUCGGGAGAUUUUCUUUCAUUUUCCUUUCUCCUAUUUCAGUGGAUUUAUUUUUGGUUCUUUUAUUUCAUUUUCCUUUCUUUAGGUCUUUUAUUCAGAGGUUGCUAUUGUCUGUAAUUAUUUCUUAUAAAUCUUUUUUACAUGUUUUUUAAUUCAUUAAUAAUUGUAGCAGGUUUUUGCCCUUCUAAUAAAUAAUUUUAAUUUUAUUAGAAAUUCUCUUUCUUUUUCGCUUCCUUUUGACACCUAUGGCCUGUUGUAGAAUGUUUUUUUCUGUUUAAGACGAGAUUAACAAGUUAUUUCUCCUUCUAGUAUUAGAGAUUGUAUGGGGUGGUGAGAUGUGCUUGGUAACUCUAGAUUUGAGAUAACUUUACCAGUCUUAUCAUGUUCUCUAUUUUAUGAGCUGCAUGUAUGCAUACAUUUGCUUUUCAGUGAGAAAAUCUUAUGAUGUUAUUUCUUGUUUUACCUGAGAUAUACUGCCAUGUUCCUUUGCAAUUAAUACAAAAUUAGCUUUUGUUGUCUUUUUAAUAUCCAGACUUGGCGUUAGGGUUUCUACUUUCGGUUCAUCUGAUUCUAUGAUACACUAUUUUAUAUUAAUCAUAUCUCCCUCCUUUGUUUUUCUCCAUUACUAAUUGGAAGGAAUUCUAUCAAUUGAUCGGUCAUUUUGCAUGUAAUAUUUUUUAAAAAUUUAUUCCUCAAUUUUGUUGUUAAAAUUAAGAUUUUAUAGUUUUACGUUUGAUUAACGUGAUUAAAAUUAUGGUUCUCAUUGUGAAUACUUCCUUCAUCGUAUUUUACUUUGAUUACAGAUUUCAUGUAAAUUUUUGUUACUUUAUUUGCAGGUUAAUAGCUUUCCACUAUGGGGUUUAAAAAGGUUUAUAAAUGCUUCAUGGAUAUUUUCCCGCAGCUGUUGCUAUCGAGAACUCUAAGGAUGUGGACGCAGCUGCGGAGAUUGUUCUAUCUGAGACUCUGCCUUACCUAUCUAAAUGAACCGUGGCUGGUAGUUCUUCCUCAUGGAAUCGGAGCCCUCCUUAUGCUUAUUCACUUGAAGAUAUGGCGGAAUUUAUACAAAGUCGUUUCCUUCCAGUCUGCCUAUGACAUCAAGAGGCUCUCAUUUUGGGGGGCCUGGAACUGAUAUCAGCUGAAAUGAUUCCACUUUAAUCCGUGGCCUCAUUGUGGAUUAAUUCCUUUUGAUGCUUGCAUACAUUUGGAGGUCCAUGGGAUUUCUGUAAAGUCCGAGACCAAUGAACCAAAACAGCAAAAAUUACGUACCUGGAAUCGUGAAACGAAGGAAUUUGAGUGAAUUCGAUAUGUCAAAAUUGGGUAUUGGAUUUGAUGAUGAGAAGUCCGAAAGAAAAACAUCGGAAAAGGCAUUAGUUUUGUCUCAGAUUAACGUUUUAAAAACAGAAAUAUGGAUGUGCUGCUGUUUGAUUUCAGAGAAAAUAAGGAAACUACAAAAAGGAACUUAGAGAAGCUUUAGCUAAUAUUGAACCAAAGCAUCAAAACGACGUUGCAGAUUUAAUAAAUAGUUACAUAAGUUUAUACCCAAAAUGGGUUUUUGAUCUCAGGCACUUAGAUUAAGGUCGAAUGAGCUAAAAUUGGAGAGGCAAUUGGAGAACACAGAGGUGAA